rnacentral:rRNA from 1 species
UACGGGGGGGGCAAGCGUUGUUCGGAAUUACUGGGCGUAAAGUGUGCGCAGGCGGCAGAGCAAGUCGAGUGUGAAAGCCCCGAGCUUAACUUGGGAAUUGCGCUCGAAACUACUUUGCUGGAGUGUGGCAGAGGAAGGUGGAAUUCCAGGUGUAGCGGUGAAAUGCGUAGAGAUCUGGAGGAACACCGAUGGCGAAGGCAGCCUUCUGGGCCAACACUGACGCUCAUGCACGAAAGCGUGGGGAGCAAACAGG